rnacentral:rRNA from 1 species
AUGGUCAUUGGACGUCUUGAACAGCUAAACUUAUUAUUGUAUUCUACUCGUUUGUGUUGCCUACUUGCAUCCAUGCUAUGUUGCUGCUUGGUGGUACAUUGUUCUUAUCGAUCGUCUCCGCUGGGUGUCGUGCGAGUUGCAGUAUGCAGCCGCUGCACUCAGGUGGUCUGGUUACAAGAUCUGGAGAAACUGUACAAGGUGGUCUUUAUUUCAUCCAAAUACACAUACGCACUGCGAUUCCAACUGUUCGCGUACGAACUCACUGUAGCAAACCUGUAUGCUAUGCUCCAUCAGGGUGCAGCUCCAGUGCCAUCUUCAGGUGGCCUCGGUGGAGAUGAUCUCCAGCUCCGCCCACCACAGGGGCGACACCUUGGGGGUGGCGGCGUCCGGCGGCAUGGCCGUGAUCUCCCUCAGCCGCCUCGCCACCUCUGCCAUGGCGGGUCGCCGCCUCGCCUCCCGGUCGGUGCAGGACCGAAUCACACCGUCCAGCCUGUUGACGGUCUCGGCAUGGAGGGGCGCGUUCCAGCUCAGGUCAGGGUCCAUCACGUCCCUCAGCUGCCUCUCCCCACGGAGGAAGCUCGCCGCCCAGCCCUCCAGCAGGCCGCCGGCCGACGCCGUGAACCUGCCGGACAUGAUCUCCAGCAGCACCAUGCCGUAGCUGUACACGACGCUCUCCCUGUCGGACAGCGCCAGGAGGGACUGCAGGCUCGCCAUCUCCGCCCUUGUCGACGAGGCGUCAUCGGAGCAGAAGAAGACGUCUGCGAUCUUGGCCGCGAAAUCGUCGGUCAGGUACACGGUGGACGUGUCGAGCGUCUUCAGGAUCUCCGGCGGGCUCAGCUGGUGCAUGUGCUCCAGGCAGUAGGCGAUCCCCACCGCCACCCGCAGCCGGGUCGGCCAGUCCAGGUGACCGUCUUCCCUCACUGCACAGCAAGCAACAACACCGUUAGUCAAUCUUCUGCAGCUCAUGAAAAUCAUCGUCUCUUAUGGAUGGAACUGGAUUAG